rnacentral:rRNA from 1 species
CUAGCUGCGAGAAUUAAUGUGAAUUGCAGAACACACUGAACAUCGACACCUUGAACGCAAAUGGCGGCCUCGGGUCCGUCCCGAGGCCACGCCCGUCUGAGGGUCGGCU